ACUUUCUAUGAGAACAAAGAUAAAAAAGGACCUUUUCUUUCCCUUCCCAAACACUCUUGUCUGACAAGGACUGCCUGGUUCAUGUCUUGCACCCAGGACCUUGCUGCCUUUCAGUGCUGCUAUAAACAGCAAGUGCGAAUCUCCCAGGAGAGCACAAGCAGAGCCUAAGGAGAGGGUGGCUGUUACGUGUUUGUCGCUGGUCUUCCAGGGACUAUGCAUACCGCUUCUCUGGAACUGCUGUCAUCAGGACAUCCAAGGAAUACAUUCCCUCACCUGGAGUGCCUGACCAGCAGCGGCUACAUGGCUGCCAAGCAGGACAGGCUGCCACCACACUAAUGAGCAAGUUUCGUUUCCCUGCUGCCAAACUAGAGUGGCUAAGUAAGGUGUCUCGUGGCUUUCCAGCAAAUUCUUUUUAACAUUGAAAUUCAGCAGCCACUUGAAAUAAGAGAAAAGUGAAUUUCUGAGACUGAUUUCUAUAGGAAAUAGAAGAAAACGGGAAAUUUUCAUCCAGAAACGAGCACAGUCACCCCGGUCCAGACUGGCUUGUAGCUAUGCACACCUUCACAGGAUACACCACCCAAGCUUCUAAGAGCAACGGAGUAAAGAAAGUUUCACUGGGUUCACUGCUACUCUCUUUUUUUAAGCCUCCUGAUUUAAUUGGAAAAGAACUGGGCAGGAACUGAGAUGGUGGGUGGCAAUGCCAUCUAGUGGGAAGACUGGAAUCAAGAGACCGACUCUUUUGUGCCACUGAUAACUGUUUGGCUGGGGUAGGUUUGAGGUGUCACUUCUAUCCAUGUAGGCCUAGAGCUAGUAGGUCAGCACACAAAAAACAUUUUUAUCGGGCUUUCUUAACUGUAAAAAUACAUGGAUAUGGCACAAGGCUUGGGGAUUCUGCAGUGGACCUACAAAACACAAGAGACUUCCAUCUCAUGCACAUGCAUGCACUCACACAAGUGCUUUCAGGCAGGCCUGGGUAAAGACAUCCUUCGCUAUUCUCGAGUGGUAAAUACACAUCUGCGUGUAGCCUUGAAGCCUAAUCAUGUCUGCUCAAGAACAUGAAAUGUAAAACGCUAAAGAGGCAUAGAACGGUAGCUACUGUAUCAUUUAGUUGCUGUAUGAUUAAUGCUACUAAUUUUAAGACUAGUAACAGAAACAUAUUUCCUCAAUGAUAGAUUUCUGAUUCAAGCUUUAGUAAAGUUUUACUAACUGAAGGAGCUUGUUUGUUUUUAAAAGCACUUCUUCGAUGUUUGUGUACUCAGUCUUUUUCCUGUGGCCAGAUAUUCCCAACAGUAGUGUGCAUACACCGAAACUUUAAAAAACAUAAUGCUGUGAAGCAAAUGUCCAUGGAAAUCUGAUAAAAACGAUCUUGUAACUCUUUCCAUGUUGUAAGGUGUGUUAAAAAUCAAGCUCCUAGUAACAGAAAAAAAAAAAUCAGAAAUUGAAAAAAGUCUUCCUAGCAAAAACGAAGCUGACCUUGAUGCUUGUUUCCCUGAAUGAAAGUUGAAUUCAUUUUCAGAGAUCAGUUCCUCUUUUCUGCAGCUUCACUUUUUUGGAUGCAAUUUCUAAGCAAGGGAAGAGGGGUUAAAAAAAAAAAAAGAAUUUUGAGAAGGAUCAGCUCCUGAAUAUUUUUGGGCCUACCUGUACAUGAGAAAGAGCAAUUGUACUGUGAGGCAGGUUAUGGGUCACAGUCUGUAGCCUUCACCAGGAAACAGCCUUGGAUUCCCUUGUACUGUUCUUCCCUCUUGAAAGAGGCAAACCAGUGACACAUGGGGCCUUGCCAUACUGUGCAAGCAAAUCUGCUGAGAGAAGACUUCAAACCUCCUAUAUUUGAAGAGAAAAAGAGAAAACUUACUUUCUAAGCUGAAAAAGAAGCGACUCUAAAACACUAGGAAAUUUGGGAAAGGGUUUUUGAUUUACUUCAUAAACAUUUACAGGAUUAUUUUGUGCACAGCCUUUUGUAGCCAAGUGCAAUAUGCUGAAUGCUAGCUGGGUAACAGCAUGCUCCCUGAUUAUGUCCAAAGAACAGCAUGUAUUUGUUUACUUAGUCAAAUAACAGUAGGGGUGAGGUUGCUCAAAAAAACAAAACAAAACAGUUCUACUAAAAGGAAUUAAAAUUUCUUUUAAGUACAUUUGACUACUUUUCAUGAUUCAUUUAGCCAGACGGAUUUGAUAAUGAAAACCUCACUUAUUCAUUUAGUUGUUUGAAUUAAUAUGUUA